rnacentral:misc_RNA from 1 species
UCUAUGAUUAUUUUCGUAUUCGCCGGUGAAGGAUCCGGCAUGGCUUUCAGUAAGUUAACGAACAAUGGGUCGACAACGCCGGCAGGUUUAAUAGCUGCGUCCCUGGCUCAUGCAUUUGCACUUUUUGUGGCGGUUUCGGUUGGUGCUAACAUCUCUGGGGGCCAUGUAAAUCCUGCUGUCACUUUUGGUGCAUUUAUUGGAGGAAAUAUCACUCUUUUGAGAGGGAUUUUGUACUGGAUUGCUCAGUUGCUUGGAUCUGUUGUUGCUUGCUU